rnacentral:misc_RNA from 1 species
UUAAGUUCAGCGGGUAGUCCUACCUGAUUUGAGGUCAGAGUCAAAAGGUGCCCGAGGGCGGUUAUGAGCGGUCUCAGACGACCUAAUAACGACGAGUACUUAUCACGUCACGUUCGGUCGCUUUGUCCGCUAACUCAUUUGAGGCGAGCCGUCUCCGGCAACACCCACAUCCAACCCGGUCGGAAACCCGACAUGGUUGA